GCCCCCAACCGAAAUCCCGCCGGUGCCCGGCUAGUCUCCCCAGCGCGCCGGUGCCUCCCCGGACGUCGCCGGCACCCCGCGCGCCUGCUUCGCUGCCACCAUCCAGUGAGUAGCCGCCACAACUACCGCCCCCGAGAGCGCCGGCACGCACGGAUCCAGCCGUACCCGACCGGAGUGGGCCAGGGGUGCCCUUCGCGGGCGCUGUGUCGCCGCCGUUGACCGCCAUGCCACUGCCGCCCCCCAAUUCCCCACCACACAUUGCCACGCGCGGCGCCCCUCUGCCUCUUGUGUGUCACCGCGAGCCAGCCCCGCGCCGACGACUAGGCAUGACUCGGACCACGGUGUUCUGCUGCUAGCUCUAGAAGCGCCCUCAGGCACUAAUCCCGUUCUUCCACACGACCGCUGCUGGUCACCCGCCCCAAAUGCCGUCGAGCCAGCAUCUCCUCCAAAAAAUCUGAUGGCGGAGGGCCCCUGCUCCUCAAUGCCAUGGCCGCCCUAUCCGCUCGGCCCCCUGGCAAUCCUUGCCGCCGCCCCGCCAUAGACGUCCACCCUAUGGAGCUCCCUCCUCCACUGGUGUCCGGCUGCCUCCCUGUCCCUUGCCACAUCUACGCAUGGACCUCUAUGAGGGGAGAGUUCAUCAUCUCAGGGCACCACAUCAACACUCCAAGUUCGCAUUCUUUCUCGAUCUCUGUUUUCUGUUGUUCCCUACUGUUGUAUUGUAACCAGAUCAAGCAUCGAUUCCUUCCCCCGUCUAGUUCUGUGUUUCUAAUUAUUUUUCAUGUCUGAAGUUCAACUAUAUCUACAGGCGCAGCCGACCCUGACGUGCUCCUGCAUAUUGAUACUGUUGCUGCUGUCAAAAUUUCUCUUAACUGAACUUAACUCUUUUUACUGAUUGAACUGUGCAGGAGAUGUGUGGAGCAAGCACUGUGACAAUGCAGUAAAGGAAAAUAAUGCAUGCUUGUGUGAAGUUCUAUCACGGCUAUAUGCUGGAAGCUGUGAAGUCCUAGCACGGCUCUCCACCAAGUUCUAGUCGAUUCAACGUCUACUCUUUCCGUUUUUCACUCUAGUGAGCAUGAGAUGCUGCUGAUGCAUGUGCUCUUCUACCUCGGAAAGAAGCUACUGCUGCUUCGGAUUUGGGUGAACAUCCGGUAUGGAGAUGUGUGUAUGCUACGAUGAGAAGAUAAGGUAUAUGAUUUUUUUUAUAGACAAAGGUGUGUGUAUGCUACGAUGAGAAGAUAAGGUAUUUUUUUAUAGAAUCAAUGUGUGGUGGAGAGACAUGCACCGCUUUGUCACAAAACCAUCAACUGGCUUAUAUAUUGCUUAAAUUAUUAUCACAUAUGUAAUUAGAAGAGCAAGUACUUAGUUUUUCA